UUUGGCUAUUGCUUUCUGGUUUUCCUAAUUCAACUUCCUCUCUUCCUUCUUCCUUAGUGUCGUCGACUUCUUCAUUCACAUUUUCUGUUUCUUUCAAAGUUUCAGGCACUGCUUCAGCAUCAAUUAUGAUAUUCUCAAGCAUAUCAACGACUUCACUCAUUCUAGGGCGUGAUCUUGCAUUCUUUGCAAGGCAUUUGUUGGCAAGUGAUGCAAGUCGUUG
rnacentral:misc_RNA from 1 species